CCUACGGGAGGCAGCAGUGAGGAAUAUUGGUCAAUGGACGCAAGUCUGAACCAGCCAUGCCGCGUGCAGGAAGACGGCUCUAUGAGUUGUAAACUGCUUUUGUACGAGGGUAAACGCAGAUACGUGUAUCUGUCUGAAAGUAUCGUACGAAUAAGGAGUGGCCAACUCCGUGCCAGCAGCCGCGGUAAUACGGAGGAUUCAAGCGUUAUCCGGAUUUAUUGGGUUUAAAGGGUGCGUAGGCGGUCGGAUAAGUUAGAGGUGAAAUCCCGAGGCUCAACUUCGGAAUUGCCUCUGAUACUGUUCGUCUAGAGAGUAGUUGCGGUAGGCGGAAUGUAUGGUGUAGCGGUGAAAUGCUUAGAGAUCAUACAGAACACCGAUUGCGAAGGCAGCUUACCAAGCUACUUCUGACGUUGAGGCACGAAAGCGUGGGGAGCAAACAGGAUUAGAUACCCCUGUAGUC
rnacentral:rRNA from 1 species